UACGUAGGGGGCUAGCGUUGUCCGGAUUUAUUGGGCGUAAAGAGCGUGUAGGCGGCCAGGUAGGUCCGCUGUGAAAGUCCGAGGCUCAACCUCGGAAUGUCGGCGGAAACCCUCUGGCUAGAGUCCGGAAGAGGAGAGUGGAAUUCCCGGUGUAGCGGUGAAAUGCGCAGAUAUCGGGAGGAACACCAAUGGCGAAGGCAGCUCGCUGGGACGUUACUGACGCUGAGACGCGAAAGCGUGGGGAGCAAACAGG
rnacentral:rRNA from 1 species